rnacentral:lncRNA from 1 species
GUUUAAGCUUAUAUUUAUAAAUAAAAUAUAUACAGUGAGAGCCUUAUUAUUAUGCUCAACAAAAUUUAUUGAAAUAUAUUAACUUUCUUUUGCAAAAUAUUUUAUAUAUCUAAUCUAAAACUCAAUCUUGUGAAAUUAUAUUAUUUUUAGGAUAUUUAGGAAGUAAAAUAAAGGAUAAAAAUUUAGUUUUGCUACUUUAUUAUACACUUAUAAGUUAAAAAAAUAUAAAUAUUCAAUAUUUAAUAAAUCUGCCAUUACCAUCAAUAAUGGUUUUAAUAUGCUGUGGCAUGCUUGUGAUGUACCUCUUGGCCACUUUUUCUAUCUCUGGAUUGUUGUGCCGAGCUUUAAUAAUUUUUUCUAUCAAUUCCCUUUUAUUAGUAAUGAUUUUUUCUUUAGAAAUUUUCCUCUUGAGAACUUUCCAAACAUUAUCAAUUGAAUUCAUGUUGGAAGAUUUCCCUGAUCACUCUAG